rnacentral:rRNA from 1 species
UACGUAGGUGGCAAGCGUUGUCCGGAUUUACUGGGCGUAAAGGGCUUGUAGGCGGUUUGUUAAGUCUGGUGUGAAAUCUCCCGGCUCAACCGGGAGGGGUCAUCGGAUACUGGCAGACUUGAGACGGGUAGAGGAAAGCAGAAUUCCCGGUGUAGCGGUGAAAUGCGUAGAUAUCGAGAGGAAUACCAGUGGCGAAGGCGGCUUUCUGGGCCUGUUCUGACGCUGAGGAGCGAAAGCGUGGGGAGCAAACCGG